GUGAGGAAUAUUGCGCAAUGGAGGCAACUCUGACGCAGCCAUGCCGCGUGCAGGAAGAAGGCGCUACGCGUUGUAAACUGCUUUUAACCGGGAAGAAACCCCAGGACGUGUCCUGGGUUGACGGUACCGGAGGAAUAAGCACCGGCUAACUUCGUGCCAGCAGCCGCGGUAAUACGAAGGGUGCAAGCGUUAUCCGGAUUCAUUGGGUUUAAAGGGUGCGUAGGCGGAGCGUUAAGUCAGUGGUGAAAUCCUGCAGCUUAACUGUAGACUGGCCAUUGAUACUGGCGCUCUUGAGUGCGCUUGAAGUGGGCGGAAUGUGCCGUGUAGCGGUGAAAUGCUUGGAUAUGGCACAGAACACCAAUUGCGAAGGCAGCUCACUAAGGCGAUACUGACGCUGAGGCACGAAAGCGUGGGGAUCGAACAGGAUUAGAAACCCCUGUAGUCC
rnacentral:rRNA from 1 species